CUUCGGCCAGCUGGGGGAUUUGUAGACAGGGUCUGGGGGCUGUGUCAGGUGAAAACCUGCAGUGGUUGGCAAGGCAGCGCCGUUUUACCUGAACCUAUUGUAUCUAAAACGGUUCAAAGUAUCUUCUACAGGAGUUCCAGUAUGCAAAUUAGGAUUGUUCCUGAGCGGUCUCACGACUUGUAGUGUUAGGAUGCUAAUUUUAUUAUUUCCCCCCAAACUGCCUGCAAGGGGAGAUUUGAAGCUGGGAUGCAGUGGUGUCACAGCCUAGAGCCACUAGCUCGCAGUCCAUGAAGGCAGAGGUGGCUUAUUUGAAAAUAGUGGAGCGGAGAGGGAUGGGCCACACCUUUGGCCGAGUUGUAUUUGUAUUGAGGGAUAACUUUGUUUUUUUUCUCCUGGAAACUCACUUGAUUGUUAAUACUUGCUCUUUGCUGUGGCUGCUGAGAUAAGUCUUAACGUUUUCGUUUAACACAGUGAAAAUGUGUGAAAAGGAAUACUGAAUGGCAAACGUUUAAAAAAACAACGGAUGUUCUACCAGUUCUAUCAGUUGCUGGGCAAUUGCUGGUUGUUAAAUCUUGGCUUGCCCAAAUCCCAGGAGAGAAAAUAUCCUGCCGUAUCCUGAACUGUAGUGACACACACAGAACCCCAGAAUUGGCAUAAAGAUUAUUUUAAGCUGAAGACACUUGAGAUUCAAUUGAUACACAAAGAAGCCUUCUCAGAGCUUCCUUUAUCUGACUAGAAGCUGAAACUUCUGAUAAAUGAAGACCAUCAUAAAUUCCCUCUUGAGGAAAGCUACUACCAGGAGAGAGACCAAGAGUAAAUCUACCAUAAAUACCCCAUGACCAUGAGUUCAGAAAACCUACAUA
rnacentral:lncRNA from 1 species